UACGGAGGGGGCUAGCGUUGUUCGGAAUUACUGGGCGUAAAGCGCAUGUAGGCGGCUUUGUAAGUUAGAGGUGAAAGCCCGGGGCUCAACUCCGGAAUUGCCUUUAAGACUGCAUCGCUCGAAUUGUGGAGAGGUAAGUGGAAUUCCGAGUGUAGAGGUGAAAUUCGUAGAUAUUCGGAAGAACACCAGUGGCGAAGGCGACUUACUGGACACAUAUUGACGCUGAGGUGCGAAAGCGUGGGGAGCAAACAGG
rnacentral:rRNA from 1 species